UGACUAGUAGCUCAGUGGUAGAGCAAUCGGCUGUUAACCGAUCGGUCGUAGGUUCGAGUCCUACCUAGUCAG
rnacentral:tRNA from 1 species